UGGGGAAUAUUGGGCAAUGGGCGAAAGCCUGACCCAGCAACGCCGCGUGAGGGAAGAAGGGUUUCGGCUCGUAAACCUCUGUCCUAUGGGACGAAGAAGGUGACGGUACCAUAGGAGGAAGCCCCGGCUAACUACGUGCCAGCAGCCGCGGUAAUACGUAGGGGGCGAGCGUUGUCCGGAAUGAUUGGGCGUAAAGGGCGCGUAGGCGGCCUGCUAAGUCUGGAGUGAAAGUCCUGCUUUCAAGGUGGGAAUUGCUUUGGAUACUGGUGGGCUGGAGUGCAGGAGAGGAAAGCGGAAUUACCGGUGUAGCGGUGAAAUGCGUAGAGAUCGGUAGGAACACCAGUGGCGAAGGCGGCUUUCUGGACUGAAACUGACGCUGAGGCGCGAAAGCGUGGGGAGCAAACAGGAUUAGAUACC
rnacentral:rRNA from 1 species